rnacentral:rRNA from 1 species
CCCUAUCUGCCGUGGGCGCAGGAUGACUGAGAGGAGCUGCCCCUAGUACGAGAGGACCGGGGUGGACGGACCUCUGGUGCACCAGUUGUCACGCCAGUGGCACCGCUGGGUAGCUAAGUCCGGAAGGGAUAACCACUGAAGGCAUCUAAGUGGGAAGCCCACCUCAAGACUAGUCAUCCCGUCCGGUGGCGACACCGGGCUAAGACCCCAGGGAGACUACCUGGUCGAUAGGCCGGUGGUGUAAGCGCUGUGAGGCGUUGAGCCUACCGGUACUAAUAGGUCGAGAGGCUUGGCCGUAGCUGCCUC